rnacentral:rRNA from 1 species
AUUGAACGCUGGCGGCAGGCUUAACACAUGCAAGUCGAGCGAGCGGCGGACGGGUGAGUAAUGUCUGGGAAACUGCCUGAUGGAGGGGGAUAACUACUGGAAACGGUAGCUAAUACCACAUACGAUCCGAUGUACCCAGAUGGGAUUAGCUAGUAGGUGGGGAAAAGGGUACCCUAGGCGACGAUCCCUAGCUGGUCUGAGAGGAUGAACAGCCACACUGGAACUGAGGCACUGACCAGACUCCUACGGCAGGCAGCAGUGGGGAAUAUUGCACAAUGGGCACAAGCCUGAUGCAGCCAGGCCGCGUGUGUGAAGAAGGCCUUAGGGUUGUAAAGUACUUUCAGCGAGGAGGCGUUACUCGCAGAAGAAGCACCGGCUGACUCCGUGCCAGCAGCCGCGGUAAUAC